UGCAUCGGUUUGGCUCCGCGGUGGUUUCUCGGAUUUGCAAUCUUGGGCACAACAUUUGGGGGCUCGUCUGGGAUCCGAGAGCCCUCCAGGACCCCAUCCGGAGGGUUUCACGCGCGGUUAAGGCUGUGAUCUUCAGGGACAAACCGGACGGCCACCAUGACCAGGUGCCCUACAUCCUGGUCUGGCAGGACAUGAUUGAGAAUUCCCCUCCUUGGGUAAAACCAUUUUUGCUCCCCAAAGCGCACAACGGCUAAAGGCCGCUUGAUUGAAGUCAGCGUCUCAGGCACAGCUUUGCUCUGGAGCCUCAUCCUCCCCAAUUCCGAGCUGCUGGAAUCACUGGAAGUGUCUUAAGUAUUCCCAAAUUUAUAAAUGAGUCAUUAAUUUUGGAAUCGAACUUGAUGCCUUUUCCAGAGAAUAUGCUUCCAGGGGUCACCAGUACUCCCCUCAAAUCUCCACUGCGAGGGACUAAAGAAGAUGCCUGGCCAGGGCAGAAGCCACCAGAAGACCUGCUGCACCUGUGCCCUCCCCUACCCGCCUUCCCCCCCAGCCACGGCCUGCGCUUUGCCUAAAGAUGCUACUCUGCUGGGGUUAUUUCCAGAGCAACAGAUGCCCAGCACCAUGAAAAGUGCUUUUCUACAGAUAAAAGAGAAUGAAAAGUUACUGGGUCCAACAGCAGAGAGACUAAACUGAAUCCCAGAAAGACUGAACUAGUUGGUGACCGCCCUGGCAUGCAAGGUUCCUGAACCUUCAUACCAGUUUCUCUCUCCUCCCCUGGGUGGUCUUUAUGGGUGGGAAUUGGGUUAGGCGGUUUCUGUCUUGGAAAAGCAAGGUGUUAACUUUGCACAGCAGUUCGGGUGUGAUCCUGAUUUCAGGCAGAGGAAUAGACUUGAGGACUUCUCAAGGCCAUGGUCUGGCCCAAGAGUCUGAGAACUCCAGAAAAUGGGGCAGGGUCCAUACAAGUGGGUGGCCAUCCCACACCGCCUCAUACCCCACCCUCCACAACCUGCCCGGAGACCAGACACGGAAGCUUACAGGAGCUGGGCCAGAACUUGUAUGAGGUGGGAAAGGCACCACCUCACUGCUCAGGAGGCACCCAUGCUGACACCUCUACCGGCAGCUGAGGCUGAGAUUCUGCAGCCCAAGUGCCUCUGUUGCCUCGCCCUUGUCCCCGCAAGUACUCCAACAGGGGUAGGAACAGGGGACAAAAAUGGCAAGGGGCAGAGAUUGAUAUUGAGAAGAGUCAGCAAGACAAGGUGCAGCAGAGAAGGAACAUCCCCAACAGGAACCCAGCCAUUGCACCUGGGCCCGAGUCUGAGUCAGAAAUGAAAGGGAGGGUCCCCUUGUAGAGCCACUUGGGUGACUCGGUGACAGUUUCCACCGUGCCUAAGACGUUCACCAUUCCUAGAGCCUAGGCCAAGCUGUCUUUUCAGGGUCAGAACAAUGACUGCAAGGGCAGAACCACUCCCUGGAGCCUCUUCCCUGGGGUCAAGAACCCUUGAGCCAUCUAGAAGCAGGCAGGACUGGACAGCCUGAGAGUCCCCAAGUGCCAGGACAUGUCGGGAUAUGGUUAUACCAUAACCCUCUACAAAAUGUCUUCAGUGGGUGGGUGAGGCCUAGACUAAACGAAGUUCAGCGACACUUCCAGAAUGUCUGAGCUAAGCAUCGCAGUGCUUUGCCAUGAACAGCAAGCCCCCAGAGCCCAGGGACGCCCCCCUUCCCCCCCAGCCAUCACCGAUCAGUAUGCACUUAACAAAAGUGGCUCAGGCUCAUUCUAAAACAAACAGGCUGAUAGUUUAUGAGGCAGAAUAACCAAAUUGAUGAAAAUGAUAGUAAAAAAGCACUAAACAGUAAAAAAAAAUCCACCUUUUAUAAGCCCUUUUCACUUCUAUGAUGUUUUUAAAAUGUAGGAGUGCUUGCAUGAGAAUUGUAAUAUUUAUGAGUCCUAGGACUAUUUCAUGAAUUCAUGUAAUUUUUUAGAAAAUUGUUUCCAAAGUGGGGCAUUUUUUCAUUGCAAUCAGUAUGCUUCCUCUGUUUGCUUAACAAUGCUUUCUGUGAAUUUAAAAUUUCCUCUUUGGUGCUAAGUAAAUCUCUGAAAGAAUGUUGAUCAAAAAUUAAUCUUUCAUAUCACUAGUAUUUUUAUCAUUGUGUAUACACUCCAGGACUGUUUGUGUUGAAAUGUAUCUUCUUCAAGUAAUAUUGUCCACUGUCUCCAUUACUUUGCUUUUUUAGAUUGAUACAUAUUAAUUUUCAGUGAGGAAUUCCUGCUUUACUGUUAUAAAGAAGAGACAGCUAAUUGUGUGCUGUGCCUGCCAGCGAGAAGAGAGGUCAAGCCCACGGGAGGAGAUGUCUUGGGCUCAGCCAACGCUGGUGGUGUAACUCCUGUUCUUGUACCUGCCUUCAUUGUUCUUUGAUGCACACCAGAGUAUUUGCUUUAUAAGCAGAGGACCCUCAGGCUCCCUCAGCUUUCCUUCUGGCCCCUGGACAGGGUGUCAACCAUCCGAGGAAGGAGCCCUUUUUGUGAACAUCUCUAUACACUCCAGACAAGGAUCUGAAGCCAGAAGCCAACUGAGCUCUUCAGGAGAUACUUAGGGAGAGUGGCACGAGGACAGGGGCAGAGGGAGGGAGAUGGGAUAGCAUGGUGCUGGCGCAGCCGUGUUCCCAGUCUCUACGGAUGUCCUAGCCCUGUGCUGCUACCUCCAGGGACAGUGGCCUGGUGUGGUCAGUACUGAUGUUCUCAGAGCAGCCAGCGUCUACCCAGCAGGGAUGCAUCAAGUUUGUCACCAGGGACCCUCACACCAGCAGGAGUUGCACAGCUGGGCAGAGAGGGGCCAGCAACCAGCUCUGGUGACUGCGGCUAACAGACUGGUUAGUGUUGCCUUCAAGGGCCCCUUUGGAGACUCCUCCAAAUAACGGGAGACAUAAGGAUUGCUAUGUUUAGGGAACCUUAAGUUAUUGUAAUCUGGGCAUUAAAAAUGAAUGGGGGGCACCCGGGUGGUUAAGGGUCCCACUCUUGGUUUCAACUAAGAUCAUGAUCUUAGGGUCAUGAGAUAGAGCCCCUCACCCUCUGUGCCCCCCCCUUAAAAAAAAUGAAUAGGACUUCAAAAAAAAAAAAAUGAAUAGGACUUCAUGUUGUCACCACAGGCUAGUGAAACCUGGGUAUACCCAAUGUACCUAUAAUGAUUGUAAUGCUAAAUUAAAAAGAAGGUUAUCCAAACAAAACUUUUCUUCCCUCUUUAUUCUAAUUUUUAUAGUAAAAAACUGACAUUAAAAAUUAAUUCAAUUAAAACCUCACUGAGCUAUUUCCUACCUAUGAAAUCAGCAAAAGCCCAAAAAUUUGCUAACAUACUCUGUUGGCGAGACUGUGGAGAAACAGGUCUCACAAUACAAAAUGGCACAACCAGUUUAAGGGCAGCUUGACAGUAUCUACCAGAAAACCUUCACCUACCCUUUAACCCAGCAAUGUCACUCCUAGGAAUUGAUCCCAGAGAUACAUUGGCAAGGCUGCCCAAGGGUAAUCACUGCAGUACCGUCAAUGGAAGCAAGACUGGAAAUGAUCCAAAUGUUCUUCCAUAGGGUGAUGGUUGAAUAAACUAUGCUUGGGCACAUAGUGCCCAAAGUGGAGUAUUGUCCAGUUAUAAAAGAAAUGAAGAAUAUCUCUAUAUGCUAUUCUGGAGAGAUCUUUAGGAUAUAUUGCUAAGUGAAAAAAAAGCAUAGUAGAGAAAAAUCUGGGUGGUAUCCUACUAUUCAUCUAAUUAAGAGGGAGAUUUCUUCAAAUAAGCCUUCCUUUGUAGGUUUGCAUUGGAAACUAUGAUAAACUAUUUCACAUAAUUCUAAAAAAAAUUAAAUUUAAAAAAAGUAAUCCCCAGGGACUCCUAGGUGGCUCAGUCAGUGAAGGAUCUGACUCUUGAUUUUGGCUCAGGUCAUGAUCUCAGGAUUGCGGGAUCGAGCUCCAGGUGGGGCUUUGUACUGGAUAUGGAGCCUGCCUAAGAUUCUCUCCCGGGCACCUGGGGGACUCAGUCAGUUAAGCAGAUCGUGAUUUGGCUUACGAUCACGAUCGUGAUCGUGAGCAGUUUGGCUCAGAUCGUGAUUUCAGGGUCCUGGGAUAGAGCCCUAUAGGGGCUCCCUGCUCAGUGGGGAGUCUGCUUCUUCCUCUCCUUCUGCCCCUUCCCUGCUUGUGCUCUCUCUUGCUAUUUCUCUCUCAAAUAAAUAUAUACAAUCUUUAAAAAGACUCUCUCCUGUCACUCUCCCCACCACCCCCUGCAUCCCCACUUGAGUGCAAGCAUGCAUUUUCUCUCUCUCUUUCAAAAAAUAAAAUAAAUAAAAUAAAAUAAAAUAAAAUAAAAUAAAAUAAAAUAAAAAAGCAAUCCCCAAAUAAGACCAAAGUGAAACAAUGCGUCUAACUGUGCAUCAUGUUAGUGGCAUAGCUACACAGAGAGGCACAAUUUUAAGUGAUUCUAAAACAUGAUAAUUUGUAUAUCCAUAACAGGCUAUUUACUCCCUAGGACUAAGAACUGUGCAAAAGAAAAAAUUAAACUACUUUCAGUAUUAUGUUUUGGGCAUAUGAGUAAUUCUGUUGGUGUCAUUGGGAACUGGGAUCUUCAGUAUGGAAGAAAAGAGAAACCCAUAUAAGAUUGAUAAGGUUAGGUAAAGACCCUGUGGUUUUCAAUUUGAGUUGGAAAUACCAGUAUAUAAUCAUAUUAAACUCAUUAUGUUUUUAUCUUAAAAAGAUCAUUUCCUAACUCUAUCCAUGAAGAGGCCUAAAGACGAGCAGCAUUCCCAUGUCGGUAAGCAGUUCGUGGUCUCUAAAUAUUUCCCACUGAAAGAACCAGCUGGUUCCUUGAAGAAACAGAUGAAUCCAGGGGUAGGACAGGAAAGUAUAAGAGGAACCUGGAGCAUUCCGUCACAACCAGAUGGCAAGAGGCUAUCAAACACUUAACCAGGAUCGUGACAAAAACACUUGAGGUCCAACUUGAGAGGGCCCACAUGUUUUAAUGAUGGGACAAUCUGAGGAUUAUAUGAUUAGUGUCUACACGAGAGUAAAACAGUUCAAGUGUGUGUAAAUCUUGAGUUCCUAAUGAUAAAAAUAAAGCAUCCAUUGAUCCACUUCUGAGGGUAUUAGGUAACCAAGUACUUAUUUUGAAAAGUACCUGUGUCACCCCAAAAUUCAUGUGUUGAAACCUGGUGCUCAAUGUGAUGGUAUUUGGAGGUGGGGCCUGGACAAUACUUAUGUCGUGAGGGUGCGGUAAUUGUGUCCUGACUGAGACUGGUGGCCUUCUAAGAGAUUCCGGGGAGCUCCCUUCCUGUUUCUGCAAGAUGGCGGUCUGCCAUCCAAGGAUGGGCCUUCCAGACAUGGAAUCUGCCAGCACCCCCAUCUUGGACUUCCUGGUCUCCAGCG